rnacentral:lncRNA from 1 species
CAGAUACCAAAGGAAAACCAACUUCUCGGACACAGGUGUAUAAGCCACCCGCACUUAAAAAGUCAAAUUCUCCUGGAACUGCAUCAUCAGGAUCUUCACGAUUACCGCAGCCAAGUGGCGCUGGCAAAACUGUUGUAGGUGUUCCUUCAGGUAAAGUGUCUUCAAGUAGCAGCUCUUUGGGAAACAAACUUCAGACCUUAUCUCCCUCUCAUAAAGGGAUAGCAGCCCCUCAUGCAGGAGCUAAUGUCAAACCCCGAAAUUCCACACCACCUAGUUUGGCAAGAAAUCCUGCCCCAGGUGUGCUUACAAACAAAAGAAAAACAUAUACUGAGAGCUACAUAGCCAGGCCAGAUGGGGACUGUGCAUCUUCCCUUAAUGGUGGAAAUAUUAAAGGCAUUGAAGGACAUUCACCUGGAAACUUACCAAAAUUCUGCCAUGAGUGUGGGACUAAAUACCCUGUAGAAUGGGCCAAAUUUUGCUGUGAAUGUGGCAUUCGAAGAAUGAUUCUAUGAAUAGAAUCUC